rnacentral:rRNA from 1 species
UACCAUGGUGGUAACGGGUAACGGGGUGUUAGGGCACGACACCGGAGAGGGAGCCUGAGAAACGGCUACCACUUCCAAGGAAUGCAGCAGGCGCGCAAAUUACCCAAUCCCGACACGGGGAGGUAGUGACAAUAAAUAACAAUACGGGGUUCUUUAGGAUCUCGUAAUUGGAAUGAGUACAAUUUAAAUCUCUUAACGAGGAACAAUUGGAGGGCAAGUCUGGUGCCAGCAGCCGCGGUAAUUCCAGCUCCAAUAGCGUAUAUUAAAGUUGUUGCAGUUAAAAAGCUCGUAGUUGAAUUUCGGGGUCAGUAGGUCGGUCGUGCCACUGGUAUGAACUGGUUUUACUGAUUCCUCCCUCUUGAAGAACUGUAAUGCCAUUAAUUUGGUGUUGCAGGGAAUCAGGACUGUUACUUUGAAAAAAUUAGAGUGUUUAAAGCAGGCUUUAGCUUGAAUACAUUAGCAUGGAAUAAUGAAAUAGGACGUUUGAUCCUAUUUUGUUGGUUUCUAGGAUUGACGUAAUGAUUAAUAGGGAUAGUUGGGGGCAUUAGUAUUCAAUUGUCAGAGGUGAAAUUCUUGGAUUUAUUGAAGACUAACUACUGCGAAAGCCUUUGCCCAGGAUGUUUUCAUUAAUCAAGAACGAAAGUUAGGGGAUCGAAGACGAUCAGAUACCGUCGUAGUCUUAACCAUAAACUAUGCCGACUAGGGAUCGGAUGAUGUUAAUUUUUUAAUGACUCAUUCGGCCUCUUACGGGAAACCAAAGUGUUU